rnacentral:sRNA from 1 species
AGUACCUACUAAUAAGAACUUAGUACACACAACUUCAGGAUCUUAUUAUUGUAGUAAAUCCUUCAAUUUAUGCUAGGUUAUUGACAAAAAAAAAAAAAAAAACUUAUCUCUUGAAUGUGAUUCGUAAUAUAUGAUGAAAUUUGGAUUCCGGUCCACAGAAUUUGACGGUAUGUUGAUCUUGGUCGUAUUUUGCAGUGGCUUCCAGGAUUCAUUAUAUUUUGUAGGACCGCGAAAUCUUGAUUUGCUCUAAAUCAAAGAUCUUUAUAAAACGAUUAGGAAAGUCGGUUUUCGAAAACGAGUGAAGGCAAGAUUUGAUCUCUUUCCGUAAUCCAAACUAGCUCACGAACAUCACCGGAAAAGUCGUCGGAAAAUUGGCCGGAGCCACAUAUGUAAAAUUGAU